UACGAAGGGGGCUAGCGUUGCUCGGAAUUACUGGGCGUAAAGCGCACGUAGGCGGCUUUGUAAGUUAGAGGUGAAAGCCCGGGGCUCAAGUCCGGAAUUGCCUUUAAGACUGCAUCGCUAGAAUUGUGGAGAGGUAAGUGGAAUUCCCGGUGUAGCGGUGGAAUGCGUAGAGAUCGGGAAGAACACCCGUGGCGAAGGCGGCCGGCUGGGCCGGAUCCGACGCUGAGGCGCGAAAGCGUGGGGAGCAAACAGG
rnacentral:rRNA from 1 species